UGGAUGAUGUGGUUUAAUUCGAUGCAACGCGAAAACCUUACCCACCUUUGACAUGUACGGAAUCCUUUAGAGAUAGAGGAGUGCUCGAAAGAGAACCGUAACACAGGUGCUGCAUGGCUGUCGUCAGCUCGUGUCGUGAGAUGUUGGGUUAAGUCCCGCAACGAGCGCAACCCUUGUCAUUAGUUGCUACAUUCAGUUGGGCACUCUAAUGAGACUGCCGGUGACAAACCGGAGGAAGGUGGGGAUGACGUCAAGUCCUCAUGGCCCUUAUAGGUGGGGCUACACACGUCAUACAAUGGCUGGUACAAAGGGUUGCCAACCCGCGAGGGGGAGCCAAUCCCAUAAAGCCAGUCGUAGUCCGGAUCGUAGUCUGCAACUCGACUACGUGAAGUCGGAAUCGCUAGUAAUCGUGGAUCAGAAUGUCACGGUGAAUACGUUCCCGGGUCUU
rnacentral:rRNA from 1 species